UACGAAGGGGGCUAGCGUUGUUCGGAUUUACUGGGCGUAAAGCGCACGUAGGUGGACAGUUAAGUGAGGGGUGAAAUCCCGAGGCUCAACCUCGGAACUGCCUUUCAUACUGGCUGUCUUGAGUUCGGAAGAGGUGAGUGGAAUUCCAAGUGUAGAGGUGAAAUUCGUAGAUAUUUGGAAGAACACCGGUGGCGAAGGCGGCCUGCUGGGAUCGAGCUGACGCUGAGGCGCGACAGCGUGGGGAGCAAACAGG
rnacentral:rRNA from 1 species